GUACAAGAGAACUCUGCAUUUAUCCUCUGCCCACAACUUCGUUGAAGAAGUGGAGAAGUGAAACAACUCUAAGUGCUGUCUGGAAGGAGAGCUGGACUCUGUCUCCUGGGAGAGCUGGAGGGCAUUUCUUCUCUGUGGAGUGUGAAGGGAGAAUUGCCCUAUUCCUUGCCUGUGAGCACUUGCCCCUGGGAGCCUGUGCAUCUUAUCCCUUUUAAUUCUCACUGAAACUGCUGGACACAUAUCACUAUCCCAUUUUACAGAUGCCGAAAUUGAAGCACUGAGAAUAACGAUUUCAGACCGCAUAGCCUUCCAAGUGGCAAAGUCUGGACUUGAACCAGGUGUCCUGACCUACAACCUGGCGGAGAGAGGGACAACUGCCAUGGCGCCUUGCCUGUGGCUGCAUGCAGUGCUGACUUACCUCAGCACUUCCAGGAAGCCCCUUUCUCGCCCUGGCCCAGGCUUGUUCUUGGGGAAGAUUCAGUGACUAGGUCUUACUGAAGGGGCUCUUGAGUGCUGAGAGUUCUACAAGAGGAAGAAAGUACCUGGGCGCUAAGGAAACUGACAUGGAACACCUGCCUUCUACCAGGCAGUGCUGCUGGAAACACCAUGGGCAUUUUCUCACUUCAUUUUCAUAAUGACCUAGAAGCAAAUCACGGGCUGCCACAGAACAUGUGAAAAGGGAAAGGAGCGAGGUUGCUGCUCUUCUGGUGGGACCAGCUCCGGGUACUGUCAAAACAAGCCUGAGAUAAAGGUAGGCGAGGGGCUGCGGGCUCGGAGAUUAGCACUGCUACUGCCCAACCUGCUCAGAAAGUUUCAUUCUUUUAGCAAAGUUCCUGGCAGCUGUGACCACUUAAACAGCUUUUGCUUCCAUUAAACGAGAGUCAUUAAGUCAUGGAGCUUAAAGCAGCUCUAAAGGGCCCAGUAGUCAUUCCUCAGUGAAAAGUGCCAAUUCAUUGCUUGGUAGAUUA